UGAAGCUGGCACCUUCGGUGUCCGCGUUGUAAUCUCGAGACGUGUUUUCCGUGCGGCUCUAUGGACAAGUCCCUUGGAAUAGGGCAUCGUAGAGGGUGAGAAUCCCGUACUUGCCAUGGAAGAACCGUGCUUUGCGAUACACGCUCUAAGAGUCGAGUUGUUUGGGAUUGCAGCUCAAAAUGGGUGGUAGACUCCAUCUAAAGCUAAAUAUCGGGGAGAGACCGAUAGCGAACAAGUACCGUGAGGGAAAGAUGAAAAGCACUUUGGAAAGAGAGUUAAAAGUACGUGAAAUUGUCGAAAGGGAAGCACUUGAAGUCAGCCAUGCUGCUUGAGACUCAGCCUGGCCUUUGGGCUUGGUGUAUUUCUCGGUGGCAAGCCAGCAUUGGUUUGGGUCGUCGGAGAAGCGCAUAGGGAAUGUGGCGUCUCCGGACGUGUUAUAGCCUUAUGCAGGAUACGACGACCUGGAUCAAGGAACGCAGUGUGCCCUC
rnacentral:rRNA from 1 species